rnacentral:miRNA from 1 species
UUGGUGACCAGGGAAAUGGAG